UCAUGCUAUUUAUAACUUAGAGGGGAAAAAAUUAUAAGCCAGCCACCAUGCAAAGUAAAGUUUUCCCUUGAAACAGCUUUUGAUGGCAUGCUAUUGAUUUAUUUUGUGCAUAUCAUUAUUAAAAAUGGCUACAGGA
rnacentral:snoRNA from 1 species